AUUGAACGCUGGCGGCAGGCCUAACACAUGCAAGUCGAGCGAGCGGCGGACGGGUGAGUAAUGUCUGGGAAACUGCCUGAUGGAGGGGGAUAACUACUGGAAACGGUAGCUAAUACCGCAUACCAUCAGAUGUGCCCAGAUUGGAUUAGCUAGUAGGUGGGGUAACGGCUCACCUCGGCGACGAUCCCUAGCUGGUCUGAGAGAAUGACCAGCCAACCUGGAACGGAGAUCAGGUCCAGAUGCCUACGGGAGGCAGCAGUGGGGAAUAUUGCACAAUGGGCGCAAGCCUGAUGCAGCCAUGCCGCGUGUGUGAAGAAGGCCUUCGGGUUGUAAAGCACUUUCAGCGGGGAGGCGUUACCCGCAGAAGAAGCACCGGCUAACUCCGUGCCAGCAGCCGCGGUAAUUC
rnacentral:rRNA from 1 species